rfam:Schistosoma rodhaini strain Burundi genome assembly, scaffold: SROB_scaffold0001420
AUCCAUCUGACCAGUCCCAAAUAGGAAGAAACUCGCGUCCUGGAU